rnacentral:ncRNA from 1 species
GUCACGCGAACGGCAACGGUUACUGAUGAGUACCCUCAUCCUCUGGCCUACCUUAAUGACGGGAUAGUUAUUUGGGCUGUUUGCGGGUUCCGUCAGUGCCUCGUUUUUAGAAGCGAUGCACGUCCGGGCUCGACACUGCGCUACCUCGCAGGACGACCGCCGAACACGGGUUUCGUGAUCGCUGUUCUGUGAGUUAUCCGGAGCGAUCCGGCCAGUG